AUUGAACGCUGGCGGCAGGCCUAACACAUGCAAGUCGAAUGGUAACAGGAAACAGCUUGCUGUUUCGCUGACGAGUGGCGGACGGGUGAGUAAUGUCUGGGACACUGCCUGAUGGAGGGGGAUAACUACUGGAAACGGUAGCUAAUACCGCAUAACGUCGCAAGACCAAAGAUGGAGACCUUCGGGCCUCUUUCCAUCAGAUGUGCCCUGAUGGGAUUAGCUAGUAGGUGGGGUAACGGCUCACCUAGGCGACGAUCCCUAGCUGGUCUGAGAGGAUGACCAGCCACACUGGAACUGAGACACGGUCCAGACUCCUACGGGAGGCAGCAGUGGGGAAUAUUGCACAAUGGGCGCAAGCCUGAUGCAGCAAUGCCGCGUGUAUGAAGAAGGCCUUCGGGUUGUAAAGUACUUUCAGCGGGGAGGAAGGGAGUAAAGUUAAUACCUGUGCUCAUUGACGUUACCCGCAGAAGAAGCACCGGCUAACUCCGUG
rnacentral:rRNA from 1 species